AUUGAACGCUGGCGGCAGGCUUAACACAUGCAAGUCGAGCGAGCGGCGGACGGGUGAGUAAUGUCUGGGAAACUGCCUGAUGGAGGGGGAUAACUACUGGAAACGGUAGCUAAUAACGCAUACCAUCAGAGGUGCCCAGAUGGGAUUAGUUAGUAGGUGGGGUUAUGGCUAACCGAGGCGACGAUCCCUAGCUGGUAUGAGAGGAUGCCCAGCCACACUGGAACUGAGACACGGUCCAGCCUCCUACGGGAGGCAGCAGUGGGGAAUAUUGGACAAUGGGCGAAAGCCUGAUCCAGCCAUGCCGCGUGUGUGAAGAAGGUCUUCGGAUUGUAAAGCACUUUAAGUUGGGAGGCGUUACCAACAGAAUAAGCACCGGCUAACUUCGUGCCAGCCGCCGCGGUAAUAC
rnacentral:rRNA from 1 species